rnacentral:rRNA from 1 species
UACGUAGGGUGCAAGCGUUGUCCGGAAUUAUUGGGCGUAAAGAGCUCGUAGGCGGUUCGUCGCGUCGGCUGUGAAAACUCGGGGCUUAACUCCGGGCCUGCAGUGGGUACGGGCAGACUAGAGUGCGGUAGGGGAGACUGGAAUUCCUGGUGUAGCGGUGAAAUGCGCAGAUAUCAGGAGGAACACCGGUGGCGAAGGCGGGUCUCUGGGCCGUAACUGACGCUGAGGAGCGAAAGCGUGGGGAGCGAACAGG